rnacentral:lncRNA from 1 species
CCCAGGGUCGAGUAGAUGUGCCUUCAUUGGACAUUCCCCACCUCCGCCGAUGGAUUUUCCUAGAGUUUUGAUGUUAUGCUGUUGUGCAAUAAGAUAUUGAUAUAUCACACAAGAAUAAUUCUGUUUCAGGUAAUCGUUUAUCAAAUUGUUUGGUUGUGUCCUUUACCUUUGUACCAUGUCUCUAGUCCAUCCCAAAUUUCCAUUAUAGAUGCUUCUAUUGGAAGUGUGUGUGAAAAAAAAAAAAUUAAUGAUCCUUUGGUUACUUCAUUGUGUUUUUUUACUUUUGUAUUUUGAAAUGAAAUUUGUUUGCCUGACCUAGGUAGUCCUCUUUGGAAGUAAUUCUUUGAAUCUAAUGCUGAAAGAGUUAGAAAGUUUGAAAUAUUUGCAGCUUAUUGGAACUGACCAACAACAUCCAGACAAUACUGUAGGCGCUGAAAAACUCAGAAGUUGUGGAGAUUAAGGUAUAUAAUAAGAUGAGC